CAACCUGCCCUGAAGCGGGGGACAACAACUCGAAAGAGUUGCUAAUACCGCAUGUGAAUUGCCAUGGCAUCAUGGCGUAUUCAAAGCCGCAAGGCACUUCAGGAUGGGCCCGCGGCCUAUCAGCUAGUUGGUGAGGUAACGGCCCACCAAGGCUUCGACGGGUAGCUGGUCUGAGAGGACGGUCAGCCGGACUGGGACUGAGACACGGCCCAG
rnacentral:rRNA from 1 species